AUUAAAAUGACUAGCCAAGUCAAUAUUGCAACUCAUCCACUUAUAUUCACCCUUAAAUUUUUUUCCCCCCAAUGUCGGAUGUGUAAUCCCAACAGAUACCUUACCCAAAUGGUAAGAGUAACAACCUUGUGGGUUAAGGGUUUGAUCAAAAUGAUAAAAUUAAUAUGUGUUUGCACACACACACACACACUUCAAUUAAAAAGUGACUAACAUAUUGACAAAAA
rnacentral:misc_RNA from 1 species